rnacentral:lncRNA from 1 species
UUUAAUUUAUAAUUUCUUGUACAUUUUGCAAUCAGAGCAAAUGCAAAUGGAAUCAUUAAUUAGAUUGUGUCAUGCCUUUGCAUCAACUGCUUUGUUUAUUGAUAUGCCUAAAUGUCUGAGAAUCCAACUAAAAGAAUCAGGAUGAGAAGUCCAUCAAAUUAGAGAUAUUGAGUCAGGAUGGUUCAAUGUAAUUAUUAUUCUGAUAGUGAUUAUAGCUUUUGUACUGCUACUGGAACUAAGAAAAUCAUUAUAGAGAUAGCAUUAAAGUUAACAGAGAUAAUCAUCCUGUUCACUGCAUGUGAGCAACUGAUUCAGAAGAGUUUAUACACAUCUGAAGUGAGGAAGAAUUGUGUCUUAUAGAAGUGGGAGGAUUACAGAUGUAAAAAUCUGUUGACAAAACUGAUACUUAAAACAGUAAAUACCCAGCUUCACUUGACAACAUACUAUAUAUAUUAGACCAAUAAUAGAAAAGUAUUCCAAAUUAGAUAUCUCCUAAAGAAACAUUUUAAUAACAUUUAGAACUCCUCAAUUAAGAAUUCAUGUUUCUAUCAGUACUGAAGGAACUAUAAGAAUAAUUCAUACUGAGUGUAGUAGCACUAUGUUAAGGCACUUAGUAUAAAAGUUUAUGCCAUGGAAAACAAAAUGAGACAUAUGGAUAAGAGAGUGAUAUCUAUCAUAACAAAGAAAUAAUUUAUCCUGUUCUCUGCACAAUAAAAGCAAAGUAUUGGAAGACUGAUAGUAUCAAUUGAUUUUGUUACAAAUAUACAUAAAUUGAAAGUGCUGAAGAAAAUCAAACUAAAGAUAUGAUGAGACAAGAUGAGAAAUUUUUGUUUCUAUAUUAAGUGGACAGAGAUGGAUGACCUCGUUUUUGUUAGAAAAGUUAAGAAUAAUAAUCUUCUUUACUGAAAAUGAUAAACUCCAUGCUGUGGCUAAUUGCUGAUUGAAUUCAAGAUUAGUGUCUAUUGUAUCCAAAGGUAUAUCAAGAAACAAUUAGGACUAGCCAUUAGCAGAUAAACAUCAUCUGCAAAUACAAAGCUAUCUAUUAUAUUCCAAGUAUCUACCAUCAACAUAGUAAACAAAAUGAUGCCAAAGAUUCCCAUAGUCAGUAUAACAUUGAUGACAUUAUGCCCUACUGAUACUAUAUUUUAUUAAUAAUGCCAAUUAUCAUAAUAAAAUUGCUGAAAUAAAAAAAUCUCAGAAUUCAAAUAGAUCACUUUUAUCAAAUAAAAAUUAAUUUUUUUAAAUUUAUCAAAUCAUAUUGUUAUAAAAUACAAUGAUAAAAAAAAUUAUUUUCAAAAUCAAUAGUAGCUUUAAGCAAUUACAAGUGAAAUAUCUUAUUAGAUUUUAGAAUAACUCCUCUUUAAAUUGCAGUCUCCCUGCACUUUUCUUCUUGUCAAUGGCAAUAAUUGGGAAUAGAGUUUGUGCGAUGAACGUGGGCCCACAAGCCAAAGUGGCCCUUGAAGGGCUAAAGCUUUCAUUAAGGAGAAGUGUGAUAAAUAUAACAAUAUGCAUUUUAGUAUUAACUAAAGUGACCAGAUGUCUUAUGUUGGAAUGCAGGACAUGUCUAAAUAAAAAUAAUAAACAAGCACUUAAAAUGUUUGUGAGGACACCAUUUUCUUAGUUUAUUUAGUUGUGUGUCAUUAAAAUGUCUUGGAUC